rnacentral:rRNA from 1 species
GUCUGCGGUCAUGCUACCCUGAACAAGCCCGAUCCUGUCUGAUCUAGGAAGCUAAGCAGGGUUGGGCCUGGUAAGUACUUGGAUGGGAGACCACCUAGGAAGACCAGGUGCUAUAGGCG